rnacentral:tRNA from 64 species
GGCCCGGUGGCUCAGCUGGUUAGAGCGCCGCCCUGUCACGGCGGAGGUCGUGGGUUCGAACCCCAUCCGGGUCG